GUUACUUCUUACUUGUGAACACCUCUUAAUUUUUUGCGUGUGUUCCUGUUUCGGAAGCAUAGAUUAAUACUUAUGCCAGUUUUAAACAGCGUGGUGAAUGUAUCUCUUUGCACACCGCUACCUGUCUUCUGGUACAAGC
rfam:Capsicum annuum cultivar Zunla-1 chromosome 10, whole genome shotgun sequence